rnacentral:misc_RNA from 1 species
AAAGAGACGUUGCCCUUCGGGGUAUACCUCCCACCCUUUGUUUAUUAUACCUUUGUUGCUUUGGCGGGCCCGUCCUCGGACCACCGGCUUCUGCUGGUCAGUGCCCGCCAGAGGACCUAAAACUCUGUUUGUUAAUAUUGUCUGAGUACUAUAUAAUAGUUA